AGAGUUUGAUCCUGGCUCAGGAUGAACGCUGGCGGCGUGCCUAACACAUGCAAGUCGAACGAAGCACUUACAGAUGAACCCUUCGGGGCGAUUCCGUUUGUGACUGAGUGGCGGACGGGUGAGUAACGCGUGGGGAACCUGCCUCUGCCAGGGGGAUAACAGUUAGAAAUGACUGCUAAUACCGCAUAAGCGCACGGAACCGCAUGGUUCGGUGUGAAAAGCCGAGACGGACAGAGAUGGACCCGCGUCUGAUUAGGUAGUUGGUGAGGUAACGGCCCACCAAGCCGACGAUCAGUAGCCGACCUGAGAGGGUGACCGGCCACAUUGGGACUGAGACACGGCCCAAACUCCUACGGGAGGCAGCAGUGGGGAAUAUUGCACAAUGGGGGAAACCCUGAUGCAGCGACGCCGCGUGAAGGAAGAAGUAUUUCGGUACGUAAACUUCUAUCAGCAGGGAAGAAAACGACGGUACCUGACUAAGAAGCUCCGGCUAAAUACGUGCCAGCAGCCGCGGUAAUACGUAUGGAGCAAGCGUUAUCCGGAUUUACUAGGUGUAAAGGGAGCGUAGGCGGCGAUGCAAGUCAGAGGUGAAAGCCCGGGGCUCAACUCCGGGACUGCCUUUGAAACUGUAUGGCUGGAUUGCAGGAGAGGUAAGUGGAAUUCCUAGUGUAGCGGUGAAAUGCGUAGAUAUUAGGAGGAACACCAGUGGCGAAGGCGGCUUACUGGACUGUAAAUGACGCUGAGGCUCGAAAGCGUGGGGAGCAAACAGGAUUAGAUACCCUGGUAGUCCACGCGGUAAA
rnacentral:rRNA from 1 species